ACAGUGAGAAAGGAGUUCCUUACUAUGAGAACAUGGCGAACAGUGAGACAGGAGUUCCUUACUAUGAGAACAUGGCGAACAGUGAGACAGGAGUUCCUUACUAUGAGAACAUGGCGAACAGUGUGUACCCCAUAGCAGAGUCGUACUCGUGGUCAUGUCCAGGAAUUACAUGAAGAGCAAGUAUUGUAAAGAGGAGCUAGACUACGCCAUUCACAGAUCGGUGGAAGAGCAAACCGCCAGUCCCAUCAUCAUCAUCAGGAUCGAUGGCAUCAAAAAGACGGCUCUACCCCGCGCCAUCCGACACAAAAACUAUCUUGACUACUCAAAGUACACAACAUAACCUGUCUUAACUACUCCAGCAACGUUGAGCGGGCGACUUGGGGGAGACGACUGCUGGAACACAUCCAGAUCCGAGGUGACGAUGAUAACCUGAAUGAACAAGAUAAGAACCAAGAAUUAGUGACAGCACACGACGACGCUCAGGAAAAUGUCGUGUGAAGCUCAGGAUACCGGAUAGUAUACAGCACGGCAGGGUGAUCGAAUAAGAGUUAUGUGGUCAUUUUAAUUUUAAUCAAAAUAGGAUCAUCUCUGGCUGCUGCGUGUUAUCAUCAAGCACUCGACCUUCGCUAGUUAGCCGGAUAACCAACUAUCCUCAUUUUUAUUUAAAGAAAGAAUUUCAUAAAUCAUACUCGUUCUGUUACCCCCCAUCCCGCUACUUAUGUUUGGGUCUAACAACACAGGAAACCCAUCGUUCCUUCAAUAGUAUGUGUUGCACGAGACACAUGGGAUCAUUGCAAGAUCCUUGUUUUUUCUCUUUUUACAAGACGAUAUGCGAGAUAUGGCAUCGACAUUAAAAUAUUAAAACGACAUUAAAAGCCGUGCGAUUAGAAAAAUUAAGCUUUGGUUUUUUUUUAGUUUUUUUCAAAUUGGGUUGCCUGUGUUUUAAAGAUGGCGUCCGAACUGUGUACCACUGGAUCUCUUAUUACAUAUUCAUAAUUGUUUUGUUUAGUUUAGUGUAAUAAUUUCAAAAGGCUACUAUAAUGUUUUUAUAGAGAUCCUGUGAAUUAGAAAUUCCCCAAAAUGGUGGAUGGAACUGGUCGAAAGAAAAUGCACUUCUACAAGGUCGGUAUGAGCAGUGUUUGUUUGGCUAAAUUCUGAUAAUGAACCAUAACUUUCCCUCGUAUUUGGCUCAAAUGUGCCUUUUUUGCGUCACGCUCUCUGUAUUUGAUUAAAAAAGUUAUUAGUCAAGUUAUAAAAAAAGUCGGGUAAGUAGUUCAGAUUAUUACCCUACGUAACUUGACCGGGUUUCCUAAUCAAAUACGGAGAGCGCGUCGCAAAAAAUGCACAUUUGAGCCAAAUAAGAGGGUAAUUCAUUGUUUAUUAUCAGAAUUUAGCCAAACAAACACUGUUCCUACCGCGCUUGCUUCUAUGAUCACGAAAAAGUAGUACUUGUUCUUAAUAAGAAAAGCAAACAAAACAUUGCACAUGCCUUUUUCCAUUCCAUUUUUGUAAAUAAAAUGUACUUUCUCUU